rnacentral:rRNA from 1 species
UACGAAGGGGGCUAGCGUUGCUCGGAAUUACUGGGCGUAAAGGGCGCGUAGGCGGGUCGUUUAGUUAGAGGUGAAAGCCCAGGGCUCAACCCUGGAAUUGCCUUUAAUACUGGCGGCCUUGAGUAUGGCAGAGGUGUGUGGAACUCCGAGUGUAGAGGUGAAAUUCGUAGAUAUUCGGAAGAACACCAGUGGCGAAGGCGACACACUGGGCCAUUACUGACGCUGAGGCAUGAAAGCGUGGGGAGCAAACAGG